rnacentral:misc_RNA from 1 species
GAUGAAGAACGCAGUGAAAUGCGAUAAGUAAUGUGAAUUGCAGAAUUCAGUGAAUCAUCGAAUCUUUGAACGCACAUUGCGCCCCCCAGUAUUCUGGCGGGCAUGCCUGUUCGAGCGUCAUUUCAACCAUCAAGCCCUGCUUGUGUUGGGGUCCUGCGGCUGCCCACAGGCCCUGAAAACCAGUGGCGGGCUCGCUAGUCACACCGAGCGCAGUAGCACAUCUCGCUCAGGGCGUGCGGCGGGCUCCAGCCGUUAAAGCACCCACCUUUCGCAAGGUUGACCUCGGAUCAGGUAGGAAUACCCGCUGAACUUAAGCAUAUCAAUAAGCGGAGGA